rnacentral:rRNA from 1 species
UCGCUGACGAGUGGCGGACGGGUGAGUAAUGUCUGGGAAACUGCCUGAUGGAGGGGGAUAACUACUGGAAACGGUAGCUAAUACCGCAUAACGUCGCAAGACCAAAGAGGGGGACCUUCGGGCCUCUUGCCAUCGGAUGUGCCCAGAUGGGAUUAGCUAGUAGGUGGGGUAACGGCUCACCUAGGCGACGAUCCCUAGCUGGUCUGAGAGGAUGACCAGCCACACUGGAACUGAGACACGGUCCAGACUCCUACGGGAGGCAGCAGUGGGGAAUAUUGCACAAUGGGCGCAAGCCUGAUGCAGCCAUGCCGCGUGUAUGAAGAAGGCCUUCGGGUUGUAAAGUACUUUCAGCGGGGAGGAAGGGAGUAAAGUUAAUACCUUUACUCAUUGACGUUACCCGCAGAAGAAGCACCGGCUAACUCCGUGCCAGCAGCCGCGGUAAUACGGAGGGUGCAAGCGUUAAUCGGAAUUACUGGGCGUAAAGCGCACGCAGGCGGUUUGUUAAGUCAGAUGUGAAAUCCCCGGGCUCAACCUGGGAACUGCAUCUGAUACUGGCAAGCUUGAGUCUCGUAGAGGGGGGUAGAAUUC